CCCUUCUCUUCCUUAUCAUCUGUUUCCUUCUUCUUUUUUUUUUUUUUUUUUUUUUUUUUUUUCUCUCUAGACUAAGGAAAGGUUGAGACAUUGAAGUUGGCAGCUUGGAAGCUUGUGAGCUGAGGAAGAUAAUCUGAUCCAAGCAGGAAUUUUGGAUGGUUGAGCUGAGAGCAACCUGGUAGAAGCUUAAAUUAAGUAGCAGAAUUGAAGCUGUGGGUUAUUGGAGCUUGCUCGAACAAGGGACCAGCUGAGAAGACUUGGAAUUUGAGAUUGAGAUUUGGGGCCCUGGGUUAAUUAAUGAGGAAGGAAAUUGGAGGAGUUCCGGAUUAAGAAGCAGCAGAGUUGAAGGCAUGAUUGGAUGAAGUUGCCGAAUUGGAAGAUUGGGCUAUUUGAAGUACUAAGGAAGUUGCCACUUGAAGCUGCUGCUUGGUGAAAAUUCUGAGCACCCAGAAUUGGAGAGGACUCGAGGAGCCUCUAGGUGUUUUGCAUUUCAACAAGUCUAGUACAACCUUGAAGUGGAGCCUUAACAAUUGUAAAUCAUUGAAGCUGAAAACGAACUGAUUUGCGUAUGCUAAAAUAAUCAUAAAUGAAGUGGCUUGGUGCAGUUAGUGAGGUCGACGACGCGCUGAUUACGGUAGAGACCGUUCUAGUGUUAUUUGCACCGAGUCACGAGAGAUAGUUGUCGACGCAUUUCGAGACAUUGAUCUUAGUUAAUUGACACCACUUCAGGUUCCAGUGCGAGCGGUGUGGCCGAGAAUCGUGGCAAGAGCCCCGCAGCUUAGCUAGCUGACGCCAGAGUAUAGUAGUUUACCAUUUUGAGUUCAUGUGGGACAUUUUGAUGUACAGAGACAUGUAAAUGAAUGUAUUAUAAAGCUUGUAAAUAA